rnacentral:ncRNA from 2 species
CUCUUAUAACGAGAAGCGGAGGGACUGGCCCAAUGAAGCUUCAGCAACCAUUCAUUGCGAUGAAAAGGUGCUAAAUCCAGCAAAGGGAACUUUGGCAGAUAAGGG